GCCGCUUUCAUGGGGGAGGCAUAACCACUUCUUACCCGACAUACUGCGACCCUGUGUCUUGCGACCCGGACACGGGUUCGAAUCCCGUAGGCGACACCA
rnacentral:tRNA from 1 species